CCUACGGGCGGCUGCAGUGAGGAAUCUUGGUCAAUGGACGAGAGUCUGAACCAGCCAAGUAGCGUGAAGGAUGACUGCCCUAUGGGUUGUAAACUUCUUUUAUAUGGGAAUAAAACGUUCCACGUGUGGGAUUUUGUAUGUACCAUAUGAAUAAGGAUCGGCUAACUCCGUGCCAGCAGCCGCGGUAAUACGGAGGCUCCGAGCGUUAUCCGGAUUUAUUGGGGUUAAAGGUAGCGUAGGUGGAUUGUUAAGUCAGUUGUGAAAGUUGGCGGCUCAACCGUAACAUUGCAGUUGAAACUGGCAGUCUUGAGUACAGGAGGGGUGGGCGGAAUUCGUGGUGUAGCAGUGAAAUGCUUAGAUAUCACGAAGAACUCCGAUUGCGAAGGCAGUUCACUGGACUGCAACUGACACUGAGGCUCGAAAGUGUGGGUAUCAAAAAGGAUUAGAUACCCCAGUAGUC
rnacentral:rRNA from 1 species